rnacentral:rRNA from 1 species
AGCGAACGCUGGCGGCAGGCCUAACACAUGCAAGUCGAACGGACCCUUCGGGGUUAGUGGCGGACGGGAGAGUAACACGUGGGAACGUGCCUUUAGGUUCGGAAUAGCUCCUGGAAACGGGUGGUAAUGCCGAAUGUGCCCUUCGGGGGAAAGAUUUAUCGCCUUUAGAGCGGCCCGCGUCUGAUUAGCUAGUUGGUGAGGUAAUGGCUCACCAAGGCGACGAUCAGUAGCUGGUCUGAGAGGAUGACCAGCCACAUUGGGACUGAGACACGGCCCAAACUCCUACGGGAGGCAGCAGUGGGGAAUCUUGCGCAAUGGGCGAAAGCCUGACGCAGCCAUGCCGCGUGGAUGAUGAAGGUCUUGGGAUUGUAAAAUCCUUUCACCGGUGAAGAUAAUGACUGUAGCCGGAGAAGAAGCCCCGGCUAACUUCGUGCCAGCCGCCGCCGUAA